CCUACGGGAGGCAGCAGUGAGGAAUAUUUGUCAAUGGACGAGAGUCUGAACCAGCCAAGUAGCGUGAAGGAUGACUGCCCUAUGGGUUGUAAACUUCUUUUAUAUGGGAAUAAAAUGUUCCACGUGUGGGAUUUUGUAUGUACCAUAUGAAUAAGGAUCGGCUAACUCCGUGCCAGCAGCCGCGGUAAUACGGAGGAUCCGAGCGUUAUCCGGAUUUAUUGGGUUUAAAGGGAGCGUAGGUGGAUUGGUAAGUCAGUUGUGAAAGUGUGCGGCUCAACCGUAAAAUUGCAGUUGAAACUGGCAGUCUUGAGUACAGUAGAGGUGGGCGGAAUUCGUGGUGUAGCGGUGAAAUGCGUAGAUAUCACGAAGAACUCUGAUUGCGAAGGCAGCUCACUGGACUGCAACUGACACUGAGGCUCGAAAGUGUGGGUAGCAAACAGGAUUAGAUACCCUGGUAGUC
rnacentral:rRNA from 1 species